GGUAAAAUGGCUGAACUAGAGGCGAUAAACUGUAAAUUUAUUUAUGAAAUUUAUUUCUUUUACCA
rnacentral:tRNA from 1 species